GACGAACCGCCCGAACGUUAUUCGGAAUCACUGGGCUUAAAGGGCGCGUAGGCGGGCUGCCAAGUCCGGGGUGAAAUCCUCCAGCUUAACUGGAGAACUGCCUCGGAUACUGGAAGUCUCGAGGAGGGUAGGGGCAAGUGGAACCGUGGGUGGAGCGGUGAAAUGCGUUGAUAUCCAUGGGAACUCCGGUGGCGAAGGCGACUUGCUGGACCCUUUCUGACGCUGAGGCUCGAAAGCCAGGGGAGCAAACGGG
rnacentral:rRNA from 1 species